rnacentral:rRNA from 1 species
AUUGAACGCUGGCGGCAUGCCUUACACAUGCAAGUCGAGCGGCAGCGCGGGGGCAACCCUGGCGGCGAGCGGCGGACGGGUGAGUAAUACAUCGGAACGUGUCCUUUCGUGGGGGAUAACCAGUCGAAAGACUGGCUAAUACCGCAUGAGAUCUCACGAUGAAAGCGGGGGACCGCAAGGCCUCGCGCGAUUGGAGCGGCCGAUGUCGGAUUAGCUAGUUGGCGGGGUAAAAGCCCACCAAGGCGACGAUCCGUAGCUGGUUUGAGAGAACGACCAGCCACACUGGGACUGAGACACGGCCCAGACUCCUACGGGAGGCAGCAGUGGGGAAUUUUGGUCAAUGGGGGCAACCCUGAUCCAGCCAUGCCGCGUGUGUGAAGAAGGCCUUCGGGUUGUAAAGCACUUUCGGCCGGAACGAAAUCGCGCGGAUUAAUAACCCGCGUGGAUGACGGUACCGGAAGAAGAAGCACCGGCUAACUACGUGCCAGCCGCCGCAGUAA